CAAUGUUGUUUGCUUUGGAAAUGUCUCCUAGUUCAGGGAGAGCAAUACUAGUACAUGUAGCAACAUUAUCAAAGCCGGGAGCUAUACUUACUUAACUUUAUACUAUAGCAUCUUUAUCAGAGGUGCAUAUUUAAAGCACAAAGGAAACCUUGCUUUUCUGAAAGAAUG
rfam:Myotis davidii contig206931, whole genome shotgun sequence.